rnacentral:rRNA from 1 species
CCUACGGGUGGCAGCAGUAGGGAAUCUUUCACAAUGGGCGAAAGCCUGAUGGAGCAACGCCGCGUGCAGGAUGAAGGCCUUCGGGUUGUAAACUGCUUUUAUAAGCGAGAAAUAUGAUGGUAACUUAUGAAUACUGAUCGGCUAACUCCGUGCCAGCAGCCGCGGUCAUACGUAGGAUCCGAGCAUUAUCCGGAGUGACUGGGUGUAAAGAGUUGCGUAGGUGGCAUAAUAAGUAGCUAGUGAAAUCUGGUGGCUCAACCAUUCAGACUAUUAGCUAAACUGUUAAGCUCGAGACCGUUAGGGGUAACUGGAAUGUCUAGUGUAGGAGUGAAAUCCGUAGAUAUUAGAAGGAACACCAAUAGCGUAGGCAGGUUGCUGGGACGGGUCUGACACUAAGGCACGAAAGCGUAGGGAGCAAACGGGAUUAGAUACCCGGGUAGUC